GUGAACCUCCAGCUGCUGCAGAGUUGUCUGGGUGUCCUGAAAGGCAACACUUAACUGUAAGCCCCGCCCUCCUCCAGCUGGACACGCCCCCACCACACAGUCCCGCUCAUUUCCAGCUGGACAACGCCCACAAUGGCUGGGUGCUGACGAACGGAUGAACGACACCGAGAACUCUGGACCAGAGAGAACCCAUGAAGAACCCAUGAAGAAGGCUUAGAAUGACAGGAUGUCUGCACCAUCCUCAUCCCACGCACCUGGAUCCACCGGGUCCACCUAGAUCCACCAGGUCCACCAGUCAGAACUCUGGUUCUUCUGGACUGGACCAGACCAGACUGUGGUUCCAGUUUCUGGGUCUGGUCUGUCUAGCUUGGUGGAUUUGGGUCCUGAGCUGGAUCCAGUUGGAUCAGAACAUGUGAACAGGUCCCAGUUGGGUUUCCAUGCUGUAAAAAAUGUGUCAGAUUUGCCAAAUCCUGGACCUGCCCAGACCUCCUGUGGUUCUGUUGGACCCGGGUCUGUCUGGGUUCUGCUUCAGGUCCUGGUUUCCUUGAUGCAGUCCAUCAGAUCUGGAUCAGACCCUGACACUCCGUCAUUUGUUAUAAUUCUAAAAUCAAAAACAGACUCAAACGAAAUCAAAACUGAACUGAAAUGAGUUCCACACGUUUGAUUUGAAUCAUCGUCAAACAUGUGUUCAAAACAACACAGGAUUUUUUACAGCGGGGAACCUGUCCUCUGUCCCUUCACCUUUGGUUUGGCUUUCUGUCUCCUGUCCUUUUAUUUUGGCGGUGUCUUUGUCCGUUCUGGCUCCUGUCCUUUUAUUUUGGCGGUGUGUGUGGUGCAUUCAGGGUCCAGCUCUCGGUUGUGUUCUUAUCACUGUCACUAAAUAAACAGCCUUGUACAUGUUUGUAUGAGUUAACUAAUGAACGCUAAUCCUCUUCCUCCUCUUCCUCCUCCUCUUCCUCCUCCUCUUCCUCCUCCUCUUCUUCCUCUUCCUGCUCCUCCUCGUCACUAACUGUUUCUGAUUGGUUGAUUUCUCGGUUGCCUUAGCGACGCUCCUGUUGAUUUGGUGUAAACAGUUCAAAUCUUCUGAAUGAAGCUGUUUUUGUUGGUUGUUUUUCACUGUAAAUGAAUGUUUCUCACUCUUCUGUGACCAAAGCUCCAUUAACAUUAGCGUUACCGUGGAGACAACGCAUCCGAAAACACAUGAAUACUAAAUAAACAGAAGCAGGAAACAGCGGCUGGUGGGUGUUGGUCUGAUAUGAACUGAAUAAACCUUGACAGCACUUUUCUCAAACAUUUGGAUGCCUUCAGAGGUUUGUGUUGUUUUCACCUGCGCCGCUCUCAUCAUGAUCACGGGUCAGUUUGUGCAUAAACAAACUUUGUGGAACCUUCUGGAACCUUUGAGCUGAGAUUUCAUGUUGUUUCCAGGUUGAUGUUGAA
rnacentral:lncRNA from 1 species